GACGAACGCUGGCGGCGUGCUUAACACAUGCAAGUCGAACGGUAAGGCCCUUCGGGGUACACGAGUGGCGAACGGGUGAGUAAUACGUGGGUGAUCUGCCCUGCACUUCGGGAUAAGCCUGGGAAACUGGGUCUAAUACCGGAUAGGACCCUGGGAUGCAUGUCCUGGGGUGGAAAGCUUUUGCGGUGUGGGAUGGGCCCGCGGCCUAUCAGCUUGUUGGUGGGGUGAUGGCCUACCAAGGCGACGACGGGGAGCCGGCCUGAGAGGGUGACCGGCCACACUGGGACUGAGAUACGGCCCAGACUCCUACGGGAGGCAGCAGUGGGAAAUAUUGCACAAUGGGCGCAAGCCUGAUGCAGCGACGCCGCGUGAGGGAUGACGGCCUUCGGGUUGUAAACCUCUUUCAGCACCGACGAAGCGCAAGUGACGGUAGGUGCAGAAGAAGGACCGGCCAACUACGUGCCAGCCGCCGCCGUAA
rnacentral:rRNA from 1 species